CUGACCGAAAGUGACUGGCAGAGUGCAGCGUUCACAUUCCACAGAAACAGGCCAAAUUGUGUCAGCAGCGCGGCUUCUCCUCCUCGGUCUUGCUGACAAAGAGUCUUUUGAGGAAGAGGAGCUGCAGAUACCCGGAGGUGACGAUGAGGAGGCUGAGGGCUAUCGACCACCAGGUGAUGUACUGUGAGUUGGACAGCAGCAGGAAGUAGUCGGCGCUCUUCCCCAUGCGACCAAAGCUGUAGUAGCGGAACACGUGGAAGAUGUGGUUCUCCACUUUGUGAGUCGCAUCCUGCAACAGCAGCAACACACAGGGUCCUGGUGGCCGUCGUAGUAAACACCAAAGCUGAGGAAGACCUGCAUGCUGCCGAAGCGGUUGUGGAAGUUGCUGAAACACAUUUGAUAGAAACCUGGAGGGACGCAGAAGUGACAAUAUACUGUUUCUGAGGAUAGUGAACUCCUGAUCGUUCUGAUGCUGAUGCUGCCAUUAGGCCAAAUGUAAAUGUGGUGAGCAUGUGUGCAUGAUACACGCUUUUCCUUUCCCUGACCCCAUGAGCUCUCCGUUUGGUGUUUAAUGUUUACACCACAUUAUUAUGUCUGAAAUGCAAGUGUUAGAAUGCUUGGGCAUUUUUUUGGUAAUCGUUGUAAUUCAAGAAUAUAGAACACAGACAGUAGUAUUUUACUACAUUACAAUGUGUCGAGACAUAAACAGACCUUCACAGCACUUGCACCAUCUUGUGGUAGAGAAUUGAAUUUUAUCUGCAGACUUUCCCACAUGAAAAUUAAUUUUAUGUAUGACAUAUGUUAAAAAAAUAAAAUUCAGUUAUGUAGGUUGAGUAUUAUAAGAGCUUAACAUCUAAUUCUACAUAUCAGAUAUACUACUCGACUAUGUGUGGAAAAAUACUCAAUACAUGUGAAUAUACAUACAGAAUACUAUAAACAAGUCUGUAUUAUAUGCAAAAAAUGAAUUACUACUACUUACUACUAAUACUACAUAAACAUCACACACUGCUAUUCUUUACACACAAAUACAUUAUGUAUAAAAAAUGACAUGUUAAAUAUGAAUACGACAUGACUAUAUGUAAAAAUAAACAUUUGAACAUAUUUCAGGUUCUAUAUUAAAAAAAAAACACUGAUAUUAUAUGGUAUAUAAAAACU